UAUGACGAGGAAUUCCUUAUCUCCUUUGAAAUUGUCACUGGCGUGCAGUCAGAAUUAAAACCACAUACGGUACAGUCGUUAAAGGAAGCAAGGUACAAGUUCACUUUUAGAUUUAUAAGCGUGUGAAAAGCAUCCAGACAUGAAGACUGUAAUGUUUCUGUUUCUGCUCAUUACGGCGGCGCUGUUGGCAAAUGUGAGCGCCCGAAAAACUAUCAAAACAGUGCCUCAAUGCCUCGGCGAGAAAGUUGCCCUUUGUAAAGUCAAUCCAUGCCUCACUGUGAGAUGUAAAGUUCCGGGGGCCGUCUGUAUGAAAAAUGAAUGUGGAAAAUGUGGAACCGACUGGUACCUGAAGGGAAGGAUGGUAUUUGAAUGCAGGACAUAAAGGACGUCUUGAACUUGCAUGUAUAUACAUGGCUCAAAGACCAUGCCGAUACGUAUGUGAAAUACACAAGAUAGAAAACUGA